GAUCUAAGUUAGUCUAAAUAUGUUAAAUUAGUCAAUAAUGUUAGCAUAAAUCUACAAUUAUUUUUUAAUUUUUGUUGUUUUGUAUAUCUAAUUUUAAUAAUUCAUCACAAUAAUGUUAGCAUACAUCCACAAUUUUUGUUGUUGUUGUUUAGGAUCUCACUAAAACCAUUAAUAGAGCUUUCUUUAUAACAAUAACGGAAGCAUUAAUAGAGUACAGCAAAGUAAAUAGGAGAAAACAUAAAGUAUGAGAAGAAUUAAUUAUUUGUUAUAUUACUUUAGUUUACUCUACAUAUUUAGAGUAACAAAAGGUGAAAAAUCAGUAAAACUACCAAAUAUCAUUUUCAUGAUUGGAUGUAUUUAAGUGGGAUUCAUGGAGAAAAAAACUACUCCAGUAGAACACAGACUGGUAAUUUGCACAGACUGGUAAUUUGCAAGACCUCGAGCGACCCAGUCAACACUGACCCAUCUGUCUAAGAAGCUCAUUAUCGUCCAGGCUCAAU
rnacentral:lncRNA from 1 species